UCCUUGGUGGCUCAGAUGGUAAAGCGUCUGCCUGCAAUGCAGGAGACCCAGGUUCGAUCCCUGGGUCAGGAA
rnacentral:tRNA from 1 species